rnacentral:rRNA from 1 species
UGGGGAAUAUUUCACAAUGGAGGGAACUCUGAUGCAGCGACGCCGCGUGAACGAAGAAGGCUUUCGAGUCGUAAAGUUCUUUUAUAUGGGAAGAUAAUGACGGUACCAUAAGAAAAAGCCCCGGCUAACUACGUGCCAGCAGCCGCGGUAAUACGUAGGGGGCUAGCGUUGUCCGGAAUCACUGGGCGUAAAGGGUUCGCAGGCGGAAAUGCAAGUCAGGUGUAAAAGGCAGUAGCUUAACUACUGUAAGCAUUUGAAACUGCAUAUCUUGAGAAGAGUAGAGGUAAGUGGAAUUUUUAGUGUAGCGGUGAAAUGCGUAGAUAUUAAAAAGAAUACCGGUGGCGAAGGCGACUUACUGGGCUCAUUCUGACGCUGAGGAACGAAAGCGUGGGUAGCAAACAGG